rnacentral:rRNA from 1 species
UGGGGAAUAUUGGACAAUGGGCGAAAGCCUGAUCCAGCCAUGCCGCGUGUGUGAAGAAGGUCUUCGGAUUGUAAAGCACUUUAAGUUGGGAGGAAGGGCAGUAAGCGAAUACCUUGCUGUUUUGACGUUACCGACAGAAUAAGCACCGGCUAACUCUGUGCCAGCAGCCGCGGUAAUACAGAGAGUGCAAGCGUUAAUCGGAAUUACUGGGCGUAAAGCGCGCGUAGGUGGUUCGUUAAGUUGAAUGUGAAAGCCCCGGGCUCAACCUGGGAACUGCAUCCAAAACUGGCGAGCUAGAGUAGGGCAGAGGGUGGUGGAAUUUCCUGUGUAGCGGUGAAAUGCGUAGAUAUAGGAAGGAACACCAGUGGCGAAGGCGACCACCUGGGCUCAUACUGACACUGAGGUGCGAAAGCGUGGGGAGCAAACAGG